GACGAACGCUGGCGGCGUGCUUAACACAUGCAAGUCGAACGGAAAGGCCCUGCUUUUGUGGGGUGCUCGAGUGGCGAACGGGUGAGUAACACGUGAGUAACCUGCCCUUGACUUUGGGAUAACUUCAGGAAACUGAGGCUAAUACCGGAUAGGAGCUCCUGCUGCAUGGUGGGGGUUGGAAAGUUUCGGCGGUUGGGGAUGGACUCGCGGCUUACCAGCUUGUUGGUGGGGUAGUGGCUUACCAAGGCUUUGACGGGUAGCCGGCCUGAGAGGGUGACCGGCCACAUUGGGACUGAGAUACGGCCCAGACUCCUACGGGAGGCAGCAGUGGGGAAUAUUGCACAAUGGGCGGAAGCCUGAUGCAGCAACGCCGCGUGCGGGAUGACGGCCUUCGGGUUGUAAACCGCUUUCGCCUGUGACGAAGCGUGAGUGACGGUAAUGGGUAAAGAAGCACCGGCUAACUACGUG
rnacentral:rRNA from 1 species